AUGCUUAGGAAGGCAGGGUUGAACCGGGUGGAUUCGCUGUCUGUACAUCGGCGUCCUCUUAUCAGGGGUGCGCGCCCAAGCUUGGGGCGCGGGCCGCCCACCCGAGAGCUUCAGUCCGGAGGAACCUUCGCUUUUCGGAACAGCAUCAGAAACGCUAAGGCACUUGCUCCCCAAGCAUGCCCCAGCGAGUUAGGAGCCUAGAACCUGGUUUUCGAUCAGGAAAACUGAAGCCCAGAAAAAUUAAUGAGAGUAAGGACAGAGAUUGAAUGGUACUGGGCAGAAUCAGAACUUGGGUUCACAAUCACAGCCCGGAAAUACGCUGUAGGGCUUCGGGAUUCUUUGGGCAAGAAAAGUCGUCCAGAAACCUCGAGGCCUCAUGAGGACAGCUCAGAGAACCGUCCAGAGUGAAGGAGGACCUUCUUGCUUCCUGAGUCCCUUCAGGGAAAACCCUGUGUGGAGAAAGUCUGGCCUGUAUCUUGCCUCUGUAGUUUAGAUUAUGAUUCCAAGAAAGCAACCUGUUCCACGUGGAGGGGUCAAAGAGCCUGUGAACGACUUUGGAGCCAAGAAAAAGAAUGUGGACUUAACCUUUAGACCAUGAUGCUGGUGCCAGUUGAGCUGGGGUUUUGUUUUUGUUUUUUCCUUGUGGUUUUCUUCUGAGCAUUUUUUGUUUGAUAUUUUAAAAAACUUUUCCACUAAGCUUAAUAUUUUUCCAAUUAUAAAAUUAAUAUCCGUUGUGAAAAGUUCACACAAUGUAGGUAAAAAUAAAGAUAAAAAUUUAAAUCACCUGUUAACCCUCCAUCUAAAAAUAUCCACUGCUAAUGAAUUGAUGUUUGUUCCCAGACUUUGUCUAUUCAUAUACAGAUAUAAGCAUGGAUAUAUAUGUUUGGAAAGAUGUAAUCAUUCUGCCCAUAUUUCUUUGCAACAGCUUUUUAAUUUAAUGAUGUGUCAUGGACAAUAUAUCUUUUUCUAUAAUAAAAGAUGUACAUAGUUUUUUCAUACUUUCAUUGCAUUUCAUUAUAUGAAUAUUCCAUAUUUUUAUCCAAUCCUGUAUUGGGGAUGUUUCCAGUUUUUUCUAUUAUAACUCCUCCUGCACACUAUGAAACUGCCCUCUGGUCCAUGUACUAUUUAAUGGUCAUGGUAGUGGUGUCAGCCAUUCAGGUUUUGUGCUAAUCCAUCUAUUUGAAAGUAAGCAGAAAAGCAGAACUUACUCCAGUCUAUUUAACAUUUUAUAAAGGGGGCUGAAAUGCAAUAAACUGUCACAGUAGAGAUUAUUAAUAGUCUUAUAACCAUGAAAAAAGAGCUCUAACUUGCAUUUUUAACGUAGAGAAUUAGCCUCACUUUUAGUUUUAUUCAGAAGUUCUGUAAAGCCUGUGUGUUUCUGCUGAACACAGGAUGUGGGCACAGAACCCAGAGUCGCUGAGGGGCAAGAUGAGGCGCAGAUGGGUCUCAGGUUUUGCCACCAGCAGUCCCGAAGUGCUUGUUUUUGUUGUUGUUUCUUUUUCUUUUUACUCCUGAACUUCUGAACCAGUUUUCCAUUUACAGCAGCCAAGAAGAUAUGGGAUUAUGUGUGUAACUCAUGCAAAAGUGUUUUUAACUUGAACAUCUGGCUUCUACAUUCUGAGUGUAGUACCCAUGAGUGGGUAGCCAACUCAAGCUCACGGGACCCAGUGAAGGGCAAGCAUCACCAGGUGGACCUUAGGGGUCCACAAGCACCCUGCCCUCAAGCACUGAGAACUUGGCUGCUCAGUAAUUGCCUCAAGAUCCACCCAGGGAUUUCCUAUCCAAUUUAAUGGAGGAGAGCUUAAGGAUUGAGAGACCAUAACUUCACAGUUCGUAUUAAGGGUGUGGAAAACAGGGAUCCUCUUUUUAAAUAUCUGCUCCCCAAUACUGAUCCCAACAAACUGCACUCACAACCAUGGAUGGUUAAAAAUGCACUUUAAUUCUCUUGCCCUUUGUAGAGUUUUCUUUCUCAUGAAUUAGUGUUCUGUCGUUUCUACCAGGAUGCAGUGGUUGGGGAUGCUGGCCCUUUAACAGGGGAGCAGGGGAGGGGCUGGGAAUUUUUUUUUUUUUUUUUUUUUUUGCGGUACGCGGGCCUGUCACUGUUGUGGCCUCUCCCGUUGCGGAGCACAGGCUCCGGACACGCAGCCUCAGCGGCCAUGGCUCACGGCCCCAGCCGCUCCGUGGCACGUGGGAUCUUCCCGGACCGGGGCACAAACCCGUGUCCCCUGCAUCGGCAGGCGGACUCUCAACCACUGGCGCCACCAGGGAAGCCCUCUUCUUUUUUUCUUUUUUCUUUUUUUUUAAAGAGGAUGUAUUUUGGUUUUUUGUUUAAAUUUUAUUUAUUUCUUGGCUGUGUUGGGUCUCGUUGCUGCUCGCAGGCUUUUAUCUAGUUGCAGCGUGGCAAUGCGCAGGCUUCUCAUAGCGGUGGCUUCUUUUGUUGCGGAGCAUGGGCUCUAGGCAGGAGGGCUUCAGUAUUGCGGCGCAUGGGCUCAGUAGUUGUGUCUCGUGGGCUCUAGAGCGCGUGGGCUUCAGUAGUUGUGGCGCACGGGCUUCGUCGCUCCAUGGCAUGUGGGAAUCUUCCUGAACCAGGGAUCGAACCUGUGGCCCCUGCGUUGGCAGGCGGAUUCUUAACCAGUGGGCCAUCAGGGAAGCCCUGACUUGCAUUUUCCUAAUGACUCAUGUGUUGAACAUGUUUUCAAGUGCUUAUUGGCCAUUUAUAUAUAACUUUGUAGAAAUGUCUACUUAAAUCCUCUGUUUACUUUGUAAUUGAGUUAUUUGUUUUUAUUGUUGAGUUCUAAGAGUUCUUUAUAUAUUCUAGACCUUUCUGAGGUAUAUGAUUUGUAAAUAUUUUCUCCUAUGGGGUGUCUUUUCCCCUUCUCGUUGGUGUCCUGUGAAACUCAAAAUUUUUUAAAAGUCAGUUUUUACCUUUUUCAGGUCACUUGCGCUUUUGGUGUCACGUCUAAGAAACCAUUGCCUAAUCUGAGAUCAUGAAGAUUUUUUUUACAAGAGUUUUAUAGUUUUAGCUCUCACAUCUAGGUCUUUGAUGUAUUUUGAUUGUUUUUUGUGUAUGGUAUGACUAACAGACCCAACGUCAUUCUUUUGCAUGUGGAUAUUCCAUUUUUCCAGCACCAUUUGUUGAACAACUUACCUUUAUAUACUACAGAAUAUCAUUGUAGAACAUUGAGUAAUAGAGGAAAAAAGGAAAUUUGUCACUUAUAAAUCUAUUACUCAAAGUGAUCUUGUUUACUUUUAGGAUUAUUUCCUUAUAGUUGUUUUUUCUUAAAUAUUAAUGUUAACAAUCAGGUGUUAUCUAGUUAAUCUUAUCAAUUUUAUAGGUAAGUACUGUUAUUAUUUCCAUUUUACAGAUGAGGGAACACAGAGAGAUUAGGAAUUCUAAUUCAGAUGUACUUGGGCAGUAAGUGGUAGUGCCAGGAUUUGAACCCAAGCAGUGUGACUGCAGAGCCUCUGCACUUAUACAAUGUGCAGGCAUGUGUGAGUUAAAUUAUUAUUUUGUGGUAUUACAGCACUGUUCUAGCCUUAGUCUCCCCCUACAUACAAAUGAGUGAACAUGUAUGAUUUAAUUGAUAACAACAAUAAUAACUAAACACAUACUCUUGUUCCCACCAUCCAGGCAAGAACUCAGGUAUCUCCAAUAUCUUUAAAUGUGUGCCCCUUCUGUUGAAUGUGUGUGCCCAUCCCCAUUCUAUUCCCUUACCUUGCCAGCUUCAGAGUUAACUACCAUUCUGAAAUUUUCUACCAUUCCCUGUUUUUCUUUAUCUGACUUACUCCAUAUAAAUAUAUACCCAAAUAAUGCUAUUUAGUUUUGGCUACUGUUGAGUUUUGUAUAAAAUGGAAUCACUGUAUAUAUUUUGGAGGGACUUGCUGGGUUUUUCUUCACUCAACAUUUUUUGUGAUUCAUCCAUGUUAAUUUUUAUAACAACAAUUUGUUCAGUUUCACGCCUGCAUAGCUUUCCAUUGUCUGAAUGUAUCUUUAUCCAACUUUAGAUUGUUUCCAUUGUUUGCUGUUAGAAACAGUGUUGGAAUAAAGUUUCUUUUUUUUAAUAGA